GAUGAACGCUGGCGGCGUGCUUAACACAUGCAAGUCGGACGGAAAGGCCCAAGCUUGCUUGGGUGCUCGAGUGGCGAACGGGUGAGUAACACGUGGGUGAUCUGCCCUGCACUUUGGGAUAAGCCUGGGAAACUGGGUCUAAUACCGGAUAGGACCAUCGUUUAGUGUCGGUGGUGGAAAGUUUUUCGGUGUGGGAUGAGCUCGCGGCCUAUCAGCUUGUUGGUGGGGUAAUGGCCUACCAAGGCGUCGACGGGUAGCCGGCCUGAGAGGGUGUACGGCCACAUUGGGACUGAGAUACGGCCCAGACUCCUACGGGAGGCAGCAGUGGGGAAUAUUGCACAAUGGGGGCAAGCCUGAUGCAGCGACGCCGCGUGGGGGAUGACGGCCUUCGGGUUGUAAACUCCUUUCGCCAAGGACGAAGCGCUUUGUGACGGUACUUGGAGAAGAAGCACCGGCUAACUACGUG
rnacentral:rRNA from 1 species